UUUCUGCCAACCUGCCCCACCUCCUCUGCAGCUCAGUGAUAACCCCUGGGCAAGAGUGUUACCUAAUCAUCUCCUCCCUCCUGGCAGCUUUGAGCCUUCACCCUCUGCCUUUCUUUCUCCCAGCAGACGCCUGCCUGCCCUGGCAGCCAUGAGGCCCCCGUGGUGUCCCCUGCACACACCCUCCCUGGCUUCCCCGCUCCUUCUCCUCCUCUUCCUCCUGGGAGGAGGGGCAGAGGCUGAGGGCCCAGAGGACCCAGAGCUGCUGGUGACUGUGCGUGGGGGCCGGCUACGGGGCUUCCGCCUAAUGGCCCCUGGGGGCCCUGUCUCUGCUUUUCUGGGCAUCCCCUUCGCAGAGCCACCUGUGGGCCCCCGUCGCUUUCUGCCACCAGAGCCCAAGCGGCCCUGGCCAGGGGUGCUGAAUGCCACAGCCUUCCAAAGAGUCUGCUACCAAUAUGUAGACACCUUGUACCCCGGCUUUGAGGGCACCGAGAUGUGGAACCCCAACCGUGAGCUGAGCGAGGACUGCCUCUACCUCAAUGUGUGGACACCGUACCCCCGGCCUGCGUCCCCCACCCCUGUCCUCGUCUGGAUCUACGGGGGUGGCUUCUACAGCGGGGCCUCCUCCCUGGACGUGUAUGAUGGUCGCUUCCUGGCCCAGGCCGAGGGGACUGUGCUGGUGUCCAUGAACUACCGGGUGGGAGCCUUUGGCUUCUUGGCCCUGCCGGGGAGCCGGGAAGCCCCAGGCAAUGUGGGUCUACUGGAUCAGAGGCUGGCACUGCAGUGGGUGCAGGAGAACGUAGCAGCCUUCGGGGGGGAUCCAACGUCAGUGACUCUGUUUGGGGAAAGCGCAGGUGCCGCCUCCGUGGGCAUGCACCUGCUGUCCCCACCCAGCCGGGGCCUGUUCCACAGGGCCGUGCUGCAGAGCGGGGCACCCAAUGGGCCCUGGGCCACAGUGGGUGUGGGAGAGGCCCGCCGCAGGGCCACGCUGCUGGCCCGCCUCGUGGGCUGUCCGCCUGGUGGGGCUGGUGGCAAUGACACAGACCUGGUGGCCUGCCUGCGGACACGGCCGUCUCAGGAUCUGGUGGACCACGAGUGGCAUGUGCUGCCUCAGGAAAGCGUCUUCCGCUUCUCCUUCGUGCCUGUGGUGGAUGGAGACUUCCUCAGUGACACGCCUGAAGCCCUCAUCAAUGCUGGAGACUUCCAUGGCCUGCAGGUGCUGGUGGGUGUGGUGAAGGAUGAGGGAUCCUAUUUUCUGGUUUACGGGGCCCCAGGCUUCAGCAAAGACAACGAGUCUCUCAUCAGCCGGGCCCAGUUCCUGGCCGGGGUGCGGGUCGGGGUCCCCCAGGCAAGUGACCUGGCUGCCGAGGCUGUGGUCCUGCAUUACACAGACUGGCUGCACCCUGAGGACCCAGCACGCCUGAGGGAGGCCAUGAGUGAUGUGGUGGGCGACCACAACGUCGUGUGCCCCGUAGCCCAGCUGGCUGGGCGACUGGCCGCCCAAGGCGCUCGCGUCUAUGCCUACAUCUUUGAACACCGUGCAUCCACGCUCUCCUGGCCCCUCUGGAUGGGGGUGCCCCACGGCUACGAGAUCGAGUUUAUCUUCGGGCUCCCCCUGGAACCCUCGCUAAACUACACUGUCGAGGAGAGAACCUUUGCCCAACGACUGAUGAGAUACUGGGCCAACUUCGCCCGCACAGGGGACCCCAAUGACCCCCGAGAUCCCAAAGCCCCUCAGUGGCCACCAUACACGGCGGGAGCGCAGCAGUAUGUGAGCCUGAACCUGCGGCCACUAGAGGUGCGGCGGGGGCUGCGCGCCCAGGCCUGCGCCUUCUGGAACCGCUUCCUACCCAAAUUGCUCAGCGCCACCGGGCUGAACGUACAAAAACUUCUCAGAGCUGGAUGGGACGAGGCAGUCACAAGUAUAGAUGAUGACCAGGAGUGAGGAAACGUGUAUGACUCAAAAGAAAUCCACAUCAUCUGGAGCAUCCAGGUCACGGUAUUCCACAAUGGCCCGUGGGUCUCCACGGACCAUCCUGUGAGAUUAGAAAGAGGAUACAACAAGUUAAAGAGAACCAGGAGGGGCUUCCGUGGUGGUGCAGUGGUUAAGAAUCCGCCUGCCAAUGCAGGGGACACGGGUUCGAGUCCUGGUCCUGGAAGAUCCCACAUGCCUCAGAGCAACUAAGCCCGUGCGCCACAACUACUGAGUCUGCGCUCUACAGAGCUCGCAAGCCACAACUACUGAAGCCCGCAUGCCUAGAGCCCAUGCUCCACAACAAAAGAAGCCACCACAGUGAAUGAGAAGCCCACGCACCGCAACAAAGAGUAGUCCCCGCUCGCCGCAACUAGAGAAAGCCCGCGCACAGCGACAAAGACCCAACGCAGCCAAAAAUAAAUAAAUAAAUAAAACCAGGAGUCUUUGAACAGUCAAGGGAGAGAGAAUGGGGCAGACCCUCAUGGAUCGUAUCUUACUCUGGGCAGGGCCAGGUGGCUGAGCUGGCUUUAUCUCAGGCAGAGCUGGUCGCUUGGCAUCAGUGAGAAAGUUGUUAAAAAAUGCAACCUCCUUCUUUACUUCCUCAAUUUUCUCUGCAUGCUUGUUGAAGAUAUGUUUGCGUACAAACUCAGGGCCCUGGGUGAACAGAGGAGGGGGUGAGAACUGAGUCAGCAAUGAGGGUUCCCUAGCUCCCCAGACCCAACCUGCAAGGACACUCCACCUCCCCUCUGUCUCAUCACAAUGAGCAGUUCCUCCCCAGGCUCUGAGGAGGCUUCCCGGCUGAACCCUCUCCUCCCACAGUCCUAACACACAAAUGUCUAACAUCCCAGACCUUGAAUUUCUUGCCACUGAGAGGGCACAGCCACUUAUCCUUGCCCAGUUCCUGGGUGUUGGAGGUCACAAACUUUUCCACUUCCUGCUCAGGGUCUUUGCGACCCAUCUUCUGGGCCUCUUCCUCUGAAAGAGAUUCCCGCACACUCAGCAGCGGAGUCAGCUUCUCCUCAAAUGUCUUCUGCCAUUCUAGCACUGUGGUUUUGGAACAGACGGAGAGCAGGUUGGAGAAGGGAACCCGGAGGCGGGGAUUAGAGGAGAGGGUGGCAAAGCAUUGCUACCAGAGCAGAACUAAGGCCAGAGGCAGCUGGGAGAGAGGGAAACCAGGAGUGGGAAAGCUGGGAGGUCACCUUCUCCAUGACUGAUGCGGUUGGGCGGCAUGGGCCCCCGAACAUGGAUGAUGCCACAGCGGUUGGGCAUCUCAUCCUCAUUGGGGUACUCGCACGUGUUAUAAUAAUCCAGGGAAUGCACGAUGCGCAAAUAAAGGAGGAGUUUGUCCAAAACCUAAGAGAAAUGAGAAGCUGAGAGUUCCCCAUACACUUGCCCCUUUACCACCCCGAGCCAGGCUCUCCCACGCCCCACACACCCUGCACCCACUGGCACCUUGAUCAGCUUCUCAUCCCGCUCCACGUUGAUCUCUGCAGGGUUCCCUUCCUUAGGAGGCUCCUCAGGAGGGGCCCCCCCACUGCUCCCCAGCAGCUCCUCCUCCUCAGCGCUCACUUCCUCAAUCAGGUAGUCAGUGAUAUUCUUCAAGAUGGGGUUCUGCGAGGGCAGACUCUGGUAGGGUGAGAGAGGUAGAGCAGACAAAACUCCUCAGGGUAGCCUAGGAACCUUCUCAUUUGAAAAGGCAAUGUGGGGCAGAAAGGAGUUCAGGGCUCGGCUGGGCUGUUACAUUUGCCUCAUUAUUUGUCUUAAUUUGUGUACGUGUUCUGCCCUAGCCGAUAAGUAAUCACUAAUACCAAUCUGUUUUGUUGGAAGCUGGAGAUGCUGCUCAGGAGGAGAGGGGCAAAUACGGGGGUGGGUACAAGGGGGUCAGUGCUACAGACCAGGUAAGGCCAGAGGUGCCCACAGCAGAUGAGGGGGAACCCGCGGCUUUUUAACAAGUUCCACGAGGAGUCACUAACCGCUGGCAGAGGCGGCGUCCCAGGCUCAGAGGCCCAGAGCUGGGUCCUGUCAUCCAGCGUGUGGAUCAGCUUGGCCGCCAGCUUGAUGUCGUUGCGCACUAUCUGCUUGUGCUGGGUGAUGCCGUUGAUGUUGCGGACACGACGGGUCAGGUCUCUGUUCACACCAGGGCUCAGCUCACACUCCCGGAGCUGGAGGGAACAGAAGGCUCACCAACACUUGCCAAAGAAGAGCCACUCAAAGACUGGCCCGACCGAGCACGCUAGCGAUCAGACUGAGCUCCCUAAGGACAGGGACCGGGGUGUCUUGUUCACAGGGACAGUCUCAGAGCCAAACCGAGAGACAACUGCAUACAAUUCACGUGAGCAGACUAAAUGGAUGAAAUAAGGAGCAGAUGGAUGAAGCCAUCAAUGAACGAAGGGAUCAGAGACUGUGUGGAGCAGGGGGAGCCCCGCCUUCUCUCCCUCAACAGCCCCACUCCCAGGACUCACUCGGAUAUUCUGCAGGUUCCAACAGAUCUCUUUAAUGUUAACGCUGCGGUCAAAGGUCACCCAGCCACGACGGAAAAACCUAAACAAGAAAAUGUCAGCAUAAUCCUGGGAUGGACGUGAUGUUGGCCACCAAUCUUCCCCUGCACCUUUUCCCCAAGGUAUCCAGGGUCACACCUCCCUCCAUUCCUUACCUCCUCUCGGGCUGGGGCUCCGAUAAUGCCACGCGCAUAAAGCCGGGGUAUCUUUUACAAAGCUGGAAAAGCAGAAACAGAAGCCCCACUUGUGAUUCAAGGAUUCACUUCUUCCUCCAAUCCCCAUGUCCUCAGAACCCUGGGGAACUGCCUUUUCAUCCUUCCUUGGACUAGGAAGAAACAAUUAAGGGCUUAAGAAUAACAGCACUUGAAAGCAAACCAUGCAACCAGGGCCAGACUCUCUGAAGGGCGUGGGCCCAUGGGAAGGGGGCCUCCCCAUCAGAGAAACAGAGAUGUAGGUCAGAAGCAGUGCCAGGUUAUCUUCUCGCUGUCGCCCCCACCCGAAGGAAUGGAGCCUGGGCGUCACCCCUGCCCCCAG